rnacentral:rRNA from 1 species
AACUCGCUGUGAAGAUGCAGUGUACCCGCGGCAAGACGGAAAGACCCCGUGAACCUUUACUAUAGCUUGACACUGAACAUUGAGCCUUGAUGUGUAGGAUAGGUGGGAGGCUUUGAAGUGUGGACGCCAGUCUGCAUGGAGCCGGCCUUGAAAUACCACCCUUUAAUGUUUGAUGUUCUAACGUUGACCCGUAAUCCGGGUUGCGGACAGUGUCUGGUGGGUAGUUUGACUGGGGCGGUCUCCUCCUAAAGAGUAACGGAGGAGCACGAAGGUUGGCUAAUCCUGGUCGGACAUCAGGAGGUUAGUGCAAUGGCAUAAGCCAGCUUGACUGCGAGCGUGACGGCGCGAGCAGGUGCGAAAGCAGGUCAUAGUGAUCCGGUGGUUCUGAAUGGAAGGGCCAUCGCUCAACGGAUAAAAGGUACUCCGGGGAUAACAGGCUGAUACCGCCCAAGAGUUCAUAUCGACGGCGGUGUUUGGCACCUCGAUGUCGGCUCAUCACAUCCUGGGGCUGAAGUAGGUCCCAAGGGUAUGGCUGUUCGCCAUUUAAAGUGGUACGCGAGCUGGGUUUAGAACGUCGUGAGACAGUUCGGUCCCUAUCUGCCGUGGGCGCUGGAGAACUGAGGGGGGCUGCUCCUAGUACGAGAGGACCGGAGUGGACGCAUCACUGGUGUUCGGGUUGUCAUGCCAAUGGCACUGCCCGGUAGCUAAAUGCGGAAGAGAUAAGUGCUGAAAGCAUCUAAGCACGAAACUUGCC